GACGAACGCUGGCGGCGUGCUUAACACAUGCAAGUCGAACGAAGUGGCGAACGGGUGAGUAACGCGUAAUCAACCUGGCCUUCAGAGGGGUACAACAGGUGGAAACGACUGCUAAUACCACAUACUGAAGGAGGGGAGUGCGUCUGAUUAGCUGGUUGGGGGGUUAACGGCCCACCAAGGCGAGGAGCAGUAGCCGGUCUGCGAGGCUGAACGGCCACAUUGGGACUGAGACACGGCCCAGACUCCUACGGGAGGCAGCAGUGGGGAAUCUUCCGCAAUGGACGAAAGUCUGACGGAGCAACGCCGCGUGAGUGAUGACGGCCUUCGGGUUGUAAAGCUCUGUUAAUCGGGACGCGGUACCGGAAUAGAAAGCCACGGCUAACUACGUGCCAGCAGCCGCGGUAAUUC
rnacentral:rRNA from 1 species